rnacentral:rRNA from 1 species
AUUGAACGCUAGCGGCAUGCCUUACACAUGCAAGUCGAACGGUAACAGGGAGCUUGCUCCGCUGACGAGUGGCGAACGGGUGAGUAAUGUAUCGGAACGUACCUUUUAGUGGGGGAUAACGUAGCGAAAGUUACGCUAAUACCGCAUAUUCUCUGAGGAGGAAAGCAGGGGACCUUCGGGCCUUGCGCUAAUAGAGCGGCUGAUAUCAGAUUAGCUAGUUGGUGAGGUAAAGGCUCACCAAGGCGACGAUCUGUAGCGGGUCUGAGAGGAUGAGCCGCCACACUGGAACUGAUACACGGUCCAGACUCCUACGGGAGGCAGCAGUGGGGAAUUUUGGACAAUGGGGGCAACCCUGAUCCAGCCAUGCCGCGUGAGUGAAGAAGGCCUUCGGGUUGUAAAGCUCUUUCGGCCGGGAAAAAUCGCAUGGGCUAAUACCCUGUGUGGAUGAUGGUACCGGAAUAAGAAGCACCGGCUAACUACGUGCCAGCCGCCGCGGUAACAC